GUGCAGUGCCUGAAGAUGCUGGAGCUGGCGAAAUCAGGAUGCGCAGUCGGCGUAUUCAUCUGCCUUCUGCUCAGGGAGCCUCCACGGAUGCUGAAGGUGCAGGGAAUGAUUCAGCUUCAGCCUUAAUCCUUCACUCUGGGGAAAGAUGUGUUGUGAGCAGCCCUGCAGAGAGGCCCACAAGGCCAGGAGCUGAAGCCUCCAGCCAACAGCCACAUGAGCAUGCUGGAAGCAGGUUCUCCAGCCCCUUCCGUGACUACAGCCCUGGUUGGUAGCUUGCUUGUCACCUGUAAGAGACCAUGAGUUGCUUCUGGAUCCCUGACCCGCAGAAACCAUGCACUGCCUCAUGACCGGGCGCUUGGAUGCCGUGUCAGAUGCCCAAAUGCUGCCUCUGUUCCUAACAGUGCCACAAAAGGAAGGCUCGGGCAACCAGAGAGGAAGGGGCCUAUCAGAGCCACUCGGGGCACCGGGGGAUGGCCCAGGAGGUCAGAGCCUUUUCAGGUGGC